rnacentral:rRNA from 1 species
AUUGAACGCUGGCGGCAGGCUUAACACAUGCAAGUCGAGCGGGGUGAUGGUGCUUGCACUAUCACUUAGCGGCGGACGGGUGAGUAAUGCUUAGGAAUCUGCCUAUUAGUGGGGGACAACAUCUCGAAAGGGAUGCUAAUACCGCAUACGUCCUACGGGAGAAAGCAGGGGAUCACUUGUGACCUUGCGCUAAUAGAUGAGCCUAAGUCGGAUUAGCUAGUUGGUGGGGUAAAGGCCUACCAAGGCGACGAUCUGUAGCGGGUCUGAGAGGAUGAACCGCCACACUGGGACUGAGACACGGCCCAGACUCCUACGUGAGGCAGCAGUGGGGAAGAUUGGACAAUGGGGGGAACCCUGAUCCAGCCAUGCCGCGUGUGUGAAGAAGGCCUUAUGGUUGUAAAGCACUUUAAGCGAGGAGGAGGCUCUUUUGGUUAAUACCCAAGAUGAGUGGACGUUACUCGCAGAAUAAGCACCGGCUAACUCUGUGCCAGCCGCCGCGGUAA